rnacentral:rRNA from 1 species
AUUGAACGCUGGCGGCAGGCCUAACACAUGCAAGUCGAGCGGAUGAAGGGAGCUUGCUCCUGGAUUCAGCGGCGGACGGGUGAGUAAUGCCUAGGAAUCUGCCUGGUAGUGGGGGAUAACGUCCGGAAACGGGCGCUAAUACCGCAUACGUCCUGAGGGAGAAAGUGGGGGAUCUUCGGACCUCACGCUAUCAGAUGAGCCUAGGUCGGAUUAGCUAGUUGGUGGGGUAAAGGCCUACCAAGGCGACGAUCCGUAACUGGUCUGAGAGGAUGAUCAGUCACACUGGAACUGAGACACGGUCCAGACUCCUACGGGAGGCAGCAGUGGGGAAUAUUGGACGAUGGGCGAAAGCCUGAUCCAGGCAUGCCGCGUGUGUGAAGAAGGUCUUCGGAUUGUAAAGCACUUUAAGGUGGGAGGAAGGGCAGUAAGUUAAUACCUUGCUGUUUUGACGUUACCAACAGAAUAAGCACCGGCUAACUUCGUG